rnacentral:rRNA from 1 species
UGGGGAAUUUUGGACAAUGGGGGCAACCCUGAUCCAGCCAUUCCGCGUGAGUGAAGAAGGCCUUCGGGUUGUAAAGCUCUUUCGGCAGGAACGAAACGGUGGGGGCUAAUAUCCUCCGCUAAUGACGGUACCUGAAGAAGAAGCACCGGCUAACUACGUGCCAGCAGCCGCGGUAAUACGUAGGGUGCGAGCGUUAAUCGGAAUUACUGGGCGUAAAGCGUGCGCAGGCGGCUCUAUAAGACAGAUGUGAAAUCCCCGGGCUUAACCUGGGAACUGCGUUUGUGACUGUAGAGCUAGAGUGUGGCAGAGGGGGGUGGAAUUCCACGUGUAGCAGUGAAAUGCGUAGAGAUGUGGAGGAACACCGAUGGCGAAGGCAGCCCCCUGGGUUAACACUGACGCU